UAGAUUUUGAUGUGUUAAGGUAUAUUGUAACUCUUUUCUGUUUUUCAUUUGAAAACAAAACGAUUUGAUGGUCAAAUUUGAUUAAAUAAAUAAUAAAUAUGUUGAGAAGACAUUGUUAAUGAUGUGUUAAUAAAAAAACAAAUUUUCUCUAAGUAAUUAACAUAAUGACUUAAUGGUUACCUUUUUAAAUAUAAGUAGUCAAGUUAAUAAAUCUUAAAUAGUAAGAUAAUUAUAAUUUAACAAUUUUGUAGGCGUUAAUGUGGAAAAUUUAGUUUUAAAAUUGAUAAAUAAUGUGAAGAUGCCAUGAUGAUGAACAAUAUCAUUUUGUUAAUUAAAAUAUAGCUGCUAUAAUAAAAACAGUGAAAUGACUUUCUUGGCUAAUUUAAACUAACAAAAACAUGUUUAAGGUUAAUGCGAUUAAUUAUGCAAAUUAUAUAUCCUCUAUUUCUAUGCAAAAAUUUAUAUUUAAAAAAUGACAAUACAAGUGAAUGUGGAUGUAGCUAAUGAUACGGAAUUUAUUUAUUUUGAGAUGAAUGAAUAAAAUAUUCUCCUUAUACUAAAUUGGCCCGUGUCAGCCAAGUACAAUCUAUCAUCACUAAGUGAUUGAUAAUUUGGGAGGAAAAAAAAAAAAAAAAUGAGAAUUUAAUAAGAUAAACUUAUCCUGUAACCGUCAUACACGACCUGAAAUAUUUCCACAAAAUAAAACAAUACUCUAAUGAAUACUUCAAUUAAUUCGAGAAAUUCAUUGAUAUUGAAAAAUGUAAACAAAUAUCUUUAUUUUACCAGGACCCAAAAUACAUUUUCCCUUUUAAAUAUACUCUUGCCAAAAAUUAAAGAAACCAAAAAAUUCUUAAAAUUUUUUAAUCAUUUUUGCAAAGCUGUAACUCCGUGAAAAAUGAUCGUAUUAAAAUUGAAAAAAAUAACAUUUUGUAGCUUAAAAUCUCUUAUUUUGGUGCAUUUUUAUAAAUAAUUUUUUAGAGCUAUAGCUAUUGCGCAAACAUAAGAAAUAUCGCGAAACAAAAGUUUUUAAAAUUUUAUUUUCCAAAGAGUCUAUGGGCCGUGGAAAAAUAUUUCCAGAUAAAACAAUGCAUGAGCCAGUUAGCGAAUUUAUUUUGCUGCAAUCUGUAUUUUUUUAGAGAUUCGUACAACAACUUGUCGCUAAGAUAUCAGCCGUCAAACGAAAAAUGAUCCUUUUUGUUUUGACAGUCAAUAUUUCAGGUACUAAUGAUCGCACAGUAAAUUGAAGAUCGGCGUUAAAAACUAGAAUAAAUUUUUUACAAGAGCCUUUCAUCAUUUUUAAAAAAAAAUUUUUUUUAUUUAUUUUUAACACUCAUUAGAAGUAAAUACAAAAAAAAAUACCUUUUUUUGAGUUUUUCCGUAAAUCAAACGUUAUUUUGUAAAUAUCAAUGAAAAGACUAACGUUUCUAAUUUC